AUCUCCGCUACCUGAAACCAUGAGCAGGGUUACAGGUGAUGGUCUGCUGAGGUUAGUUGGGCUCCAUGUAUGUUCUUGAUCUCUAUGAUGGACACCACUGGAGGACUGGAUUAAAGCAGUGUUUACGACUCCUGAUGAUUGACAGGAACAACAGGAAACCACAACAGGCUCCUUCCUCCAACAGAAAACAUUGCACCUGAUUGGACAAACAUUUCACUGCUGUUCUGCUCAAACUGGACCAACAUGGUGGCUCAUCUGCUGCUGGUUUGUUUAAAGGUUUCUUCAGAGUUUCAGCUGAUUUAGAUAAAGAAGUCUAAAGCUCAGCUGGAUGUAAACCAGGAGGUCUCUAAACACACCACGAGAUUGUAGGGUUCAUGUUUGGCUACUUUCCCUGUGAUUGUAGAGAUCAUGUGUGGUAUCUGAUCUGUUACAUGUAUUACUUAAUAAGUUAGUAGACUGGAAUCUGUUUUGUUUGUUAUAGCAUUUGAAAGGAGAUGCAGUGUUUGCUCUGGUGUCUCUGACCACAGAUGGAACCUGCAUUAUAUUCUACCCAUGCCAUGGGAAAGUGUUCUCCUGUUUACAGAGCCCUGUUGGAGGUGUUUUUAUGAGGGUUCUUCUGUCUAAAAUACUGAUUUAGGGAUUCUUCAGCUGUUGUAGACAAGGGGGAGUUGUUUGGGGAUGCUCUCUGCUUUCCCCAUAUGGUAGGCAAUAAAGAACCAUUUGUUUUAACCCCUCCUAUAUGUUGAAAACCUAUAAAACCUGAUUGCUGGUCAUUGUCAAGCAAAGAGGGAUUCAAUUGGCCGACUCCUUCCAGGCAGGUUCUGUCUGUACUGAUGCUGCUCUUUCCUUUAAUAAAAUACUUUUAAAGAAAG